CUUGACUAUCUGCAAGACAGUCGACUUAAGUUGUGAAGAUCUGACAGUAACUAUUCCUGAAACCAUGCUGAAGGUCGUAGUUCUGCUUGCGUGCCUGCUGAGCCUGGCUCUGGCUAACAAUCAGGGCAACUGUCAGUCUCAUCACCAUCGCCAUUGCCACCAUCCUCCACCUCCUGCUCUGAAUAGACAGUUGCUCCAGUUGAUUCUUAAGCACCUUCAGCAACAUGCUGCGGCUACAACCACUACUACAGCAGCAACCACCGCCACCCCCACUGCAGCAGCUACUAAUUCUUCCACCGUGGGAUUGACAUAAAUCUGAAAUCUAGAUGUCAAGGAACAACACUGCUUUGAAGUGAUUUCUGUUUGCUCAUUAUUUUAGUAAACAUGUUAAUCUUG